GCCGCCUUAGCUCAGUAGGUAGAGCGCUUCCAUGGUAAGGAAGAGGUCGUCGGUUCGAAUCCGACAGGUGGCU
rnacentral:tRNA from 1 species